rnacentral:rRNA from 1 species
UACAGAGGUCUCAAGCGUUGUUCGGAUUCAUUGGGCGUAAAGGGUGCGUAGGCGGCGCGGUAAGUCGGGUGUGAAAGUCUCGGAGCUUAACUCCGAACUGCAUUCGAUACUGCCGUGCUUGAGGACUGGAGAGGAGACUGGAAUUUACGGUGUAGCGGUGAAAUGCGUAGAUAUCGUAAGGAAGACCAGUGGCGAAGGCGGGUCUCUGG